rnacentral:lncRNA from 1 species
GUAACUAAGUGGCCCAUAUUUUGGCUCUUACAGGGUCAAUGAGAGACAUCAACUCAGCCAGUAGCAGGACACCAGAUGACCUCACCCCUGUCUACUUGGAGACCAGAGAGAUUCCUCCCAAGCCUUCAGAUGCUGACAAAAGCCCUGAGGUGCUCUGCAGUGGAAGAGUAUUCAGGGUUAUCUCCUCUGCCAUGUUGCCAGAAGUGGUCCCAUCCAUCAUCUCUAGACCUCCUCUCACUACCCUCCGCCCCACGCUCCAGAGUUGCUGGCAUCCUGCUUACGGUUCUGUCUCCACUCCAAGCCUUCUCAUCAUCCUGGGCCAUGUCAGCACAGAUGUGGGCGACCCAUCCAAUAUCUCAGCCUCUCAAUCCCUCCUCACUUUUAAUGAUUAAUGAUCUUUAUUUUCACCUUCUUUCAGUCACCUACUAUGGCCUUUUCCACCACAUCAGUGACACCACCUUUACAAAUGUGAAUUCCAUCAUGUUCCUCUUGAACCAUGAUCUCUUAUAUUUCCAGUCCUCUCAUGCAGUUACUUCCUUGACAUUUCCUCCAGUCUUCCCUUUCCUUCCUGUCCUGUUUACAUACUAG